rnacentral:lncRNA from 1 species
CAGUUUGAAGAUUUAUGUUGCAAAGAGAUCUCCAUAGUAUGAAAUGCUAUCAAAAUCCUGAAUUUAGUUUUAGGAAUUGGAUUUGUCCUUGUAUUUUCCAAUUUAAAAAAUUCUAAUAUAUGGAAGUAAAAUUCUUCAGCCUGAAUGAGUUACUAGGUAUCUGAUUCUUUUAAGUGUUGGGGUUGAAUUUAAUGUUAUAUUUUGUUUGAAAUUGGACCUAUAGCCCAAACAUUGAUAAAGAUUACAAUGCAGUCUAACUUACAAUUUAAUUCUACAAUUGAGUUCCGUUGACUGAAGGCAUAUGCGAUGGACACUUGCUAUGUUUGUUAAGAUAGGAUUCCUUGUUGUCAGAUUUUGAUUGAUGAGACCAAUGUCAGAGAUGCAUAUUGUUGAUAAAAAUAAUUGAUGUAGAAACUUUGAAGUUGCUUGAUUGUAUGGUUGAUUUGUCUCUAUAUAUCUUCAUGUCACCAAGGUUACUUGCAAAUUUUUGUCUGAGUCCGACCAAAACUUCAUACUAAUAUUACUAUUAGAAUAAUUAUUGAUUUCUAUAAAAUGUUAUAAAAACUGAACUGAUUGAUCAAUGAUAACUUUAAUAUAUUUACCAAAAAAAAAAAAAAAAAACUGGGUGCUAAAUUCUGAUGAGAAUCUUUAUUUUUUCUUUUUUCAUUUUUCAUUUUUUACUAUAUGACUUUCAUUAACAUGGUUGGUGCUUUUUUGGCAGGAAACUUAUUUUAGGUGGUGAAAUGUUAUUUUACAGGAAUAUGUUUUACAAACUGGGAAGAAUGCUUUCAAAAAUUUAGGGGAGCAAUUGGGGGACUUUGGAAAACAUUCUUUUUCUUUUCUUUGGAGAACUUUGGGAAACAACUAGGGAGCACUCAACAGAGUUAUGAUUCCCAUAGAUCUCUCCCUUUUUGAUGUUUCUCAAGCCUUUUUUUUCUCAUCUUUAUUUGCUUAAAAAAUUUCUUUAAUUAUCUCUCAGGCUACUAGUUUCCGAGGUUUUUUCCAAUUAUUUUGUUUUAUUUUAUUUCAAUAGAUAAGUUCCUUAACAUUCUCCUUGUACUUCUAGACCACACUUUUUGUUUGCUUCUUCUUCCCACCCAAGUAACUGCUCUGGAAACAUACAACAGACCUGAGUCAAAUUGUUCGAACUUUUAAGUUAUAAUCUGUUCAUAUCUUCUCUUUUUUCCCUACAAUUAAGAACAAGGUUACAAAGCUUAAUUGGUAAUAGGAUCUUAUAAACUCUUACAUUACACAAAUUGAACUUAUUAGCUAAUCAAAAGCCCAAUCUAGGAUAGUUUGGGUGUAGAUGAUGAUCACAAAACCUUCACCUUCACAAACCAGAAAUCUCACUGCCCCUUGUAGUUGUGUUGGCUUUCACUGUUUAAACCAUGUACAUUUUUUUUCUCCUCUUGUUGUAGCUUGUCAAAUUUCCCCUUUUUUAUUCUUGUUUGAGCUAAAAAAAAAAAUUGAGAAUUGAAGUAUAAAAUUUAAAAAAAGAACAGAAAAAAAAAAUGAUAGAAAGAAGAAAGGGGGAAAAAACCUUUCUUGCUUUUAUUCUUGAGCUGUUAUUACUAGAUAUCGCAGAAACAUACAAUUUCAUAUUGAUGCACACUGAUGGAUAUUGCAAAAGCAUAUGAUUUCAAAUCAUACAUAUUUCAUGUUUGAAACAAAUUUUUGUAAAUUGGGGUGUUUACUUGGUUGUAAAUAAAUUCAUAUGUUUCUUCUGACAGCUCUGUUUACUAAUAUUUAUAAUAUUACUGAGUAUCUCUGUAUUUUGUUCUCUUUGGUAAAACUGUUUGUGUUUGACCUUUACUUCUAUGUCAAUUUUCUUUCUUAAAGGGGAAGGUGACUAUUGAAGCUAAGGCUGGGGUGAAAUUGGAAAUACCCAAUGGAGCUGUAGUUGCAAACAAGGUAACGUUGCUGGAAACCAGGUCCUUCAUUUUAACCACAGGUUAUCGUUUUAUCUGCGCUCACUAUAUUAUUAUGAUUUUCAGGUGAUCAAUGGUCCUCAGGACAUCUAAGGAAACUGUUUGUCUUAAAUUUGUCUUGGAGAGUGUACACAUCUUAAAACCACUGUAACGGGUCCUAUUUUGAUCGUGCGAUGCACAUUAAGUAUUUGAUAGAAUAAGAGGACCAUUUUGUUUGCAAUGACACUCUUAUUUGAAAUAUUGCAAGUUUUAAUGGCUAUCUUUUUGCUGACUGGGAAAUAUUUUGUGAGAAUGGUGGAACUCCACCAGUAAUUAGAUGAAGUCCAGUGAAACAAAACUAAAUAUGGAAUGGUGGUGCCUUUAAAUGAGAUGCGUGGGUCUUGCUGGACUGAAAGCAUUGAUUUUGAGAAGGUGGGCGGGUGGGCUGUUAGCCCCGUGUUCCUUCUGACUAGGCCACUGGAUAUCUUUGGGGCUUUUUUUUUUGUGGAGCUCAGCCUGCUUGCUCUCGGGAGCUACCUAACAGAUUGUGUUUAUUUAGCCUUAUGGUCAUUCUCUGCGAGAACAUAUGAAAGAAAUCUAAUAGAAGAUGGCCCAAGUGGGUGUAUGAAAAUUAGACUUCUAAAAGGUAGGUUAGGAGCAGGUUUGGUAAGAUCUCUGUGCCUUGCUUUUUGACAGCUUCGAUGACAAUAAGCUGGGCCAUUAGAGGUCUAGCACUGUAGGGAUCCCUAGAAAAAUUUCCUGAAAGACGAUUAAGAGAAUUGAAGAUUCAAGGCAUGUGAGUUGUCGAAAAGCCGUCUUCUUGACGCUAUGCGGCAUCACCUCGGUACUUGGAUUGACCCCGACUUCAACCACGAGGCGUUAGUCCCCUUGCAGCUUGCGUUAUAAUCCUCGUUAACUUUGUGAGGAAAAAACCUAUUGGUUGAAGUCGAUGAUAGGAUGCAUCAAUUACUAUGAUUGCUAAGUUGUUAAUUAAUCUAAAAGCUUAGAGCAUCAUUGUUAUAUAUGCGGUGUCCUAGCCCGAUAGAUCCAAAAAACCUUGCUCGUAGGCCAUGUAUAUUAGUUUGAUUUAGUUGAGGAUCCGAAAUCUAUUCGCCUUAAAUGAAUGAACGUUGCUUUUCCAUACUGUCAGCCAUCACCCCAUUCCAUAUCAAAGCCAAAUUACUUGAUAAGCCUUUUUAUUUGGUAAAACUUAAUACUUAUUAUUUAAUAACUUAAAUUAGUUUUAAGUUAAAUUAUUUUGAAGUUGUUGAUUUUAAAUUUAUUAUUUAAUUUUUUACUUUUAAGUAAAACAAUUAUUUUGUAAGAUUAACUUAAAAUUUAUUUUAAAUCAUCAAUUUGAGAUAUUUCUCUUAAUUAUUUUUAACUAAUAUUUAUAUUUUCACUAAUCACAAGUAAUAAAUUAAUUUGUUAAAUAUCCACAUUUAAAAUAUUGGAGAUAUGUAAGAUAAUGACAAAAAUAUUUUACCAUAAAAUAUGAAUUGUGAAUGUGAAGUUAUAGUUGUAACAUAUUUUGACUGAGCAUGGACAAACGAGACAAAAGAGAUUUGAGAAUAAGAAUAAAUAAUUAUUUUAACUUAAUACUUAAAGUUAGUUUUUAUUUUAAAUUGUGAUAUUAGGUUGUUGUGAAAAAGUUUGGUUAAUCUUGGUUUUAAUGAUGUUUAGAAUUAAUGAUUAUAUGUUUAGAAUUAAUGAUUAUAUUUCAAGUAUGACUAGGUAAGAUGAGUUCCAAAGUGGCAAUUAUAAAGGCUAAAUCAAGUAAAAGGAAAAUCAAGAAAAAAGAUGAAGCCUCAAAGAGAAGAGCUUUCAAGAUAUUUCAUAGAAUCUCUUUGUAAUGUUAUUGGUAUAGUAGGUUUUUCAUGCAUCUUAUUUUGUUUGUUUUACACAAAAAAUUCAUCUAAGAGUUAUUUUAUUUAAAAUAUUUCCUAAUUGGAUGAUUUUUUAUUCUCAACUAAAAACCUUGUUAAAUACUUUUAAAAACUUGUUUAAAAGGUUUUGAGUUGAAAAAUAUGACUGUUGAGCUAAAAAGGGUCCAAUCGAUCAAGGGUGAACUAAAUUGACUCAACCAAUUAAGGAACCGGUUGACCUAUUGCCAUUUCUAGGUCGAGAACUGGUCAAGGGGUGCAAAAUUUUCUCUUUCUUCCAAAAGGGUUGUCUUCCUGAUUGAGGGAAAACCUUUCUUAGUAAAGGGUACCCAUUUCUAAACUGGUUGACCUACUGCCCUUUCUAGGUAGGUAUUUCACUAUUUGAGUUUUAAAUUAUUUUAAAAAAUUAAUAGACUUAUUAAUGAUCCAAUGUAUUAAGUCUUGUUUAAUUUUGAGUUUAUUUAUCAAGUGAAAAAAUUAGAAAAAUGUAGUUGGAUGUAGAAGAGAAACAAUAAAGUCACUUUAGUUUUGGUAUUAAUUUUAUCAUUAUUUGAGUUUUAAGUUAUUUUUAAAAAUUAGUAGAUUAGUUAAUAAAUGUAAUACAUUAAGUCUUACUUAUUUUAGAGUUUAUUUGAAUAGUAAAAAUUUUUACAAAAAUAUGAUUAUAUGUAAAGAAGAAACUAGUUAAGUCAUUCAAAAUUAAAUUUGGUUCAUGUUUUUCUAAUGUUAUUGACUUAUUUUAUUUAUCAAGUGUAGUUUGUUUGAAAUUUAUUUACUUAAUGAAAUAUUUUAUAACAAUUAAAGAAAAUUAAAAACAAAAUAUGCGUAAUUUGAAGGAAGAUCAUAUUUGAAGAUUUUUAGCAUUAAUAUUGAAUUAUGGAAAGUGGGAAAAAAAAUCAGAUUUAAAUUUUUUUUUUAUGGUUUGUUUAAUUUCUAUAUAUAUAUAUAUAUAUUAAAACAAAUGAAUUUAAAACCCAUUUUCUAUUUCACUUUGUUUUAAAAAUUGGAAAAAGAGAACUAUAGCCAAAUAAUGCUAUGAAUUUUUAAAAAUAAUUUUUUAUUUUUAAAAACAAAAAAACUGUUCUUUAAUCACCGGACUAAAACAAGCUCUACAUCUUUUCAACUCAUUAUCUAAAAUUAUUCUUAACAUAUUAAUCAACCUUGUUGAACUUACAACAGAGCUUUGGGCUUUUGAAAAGCCAAGCAAAUCACAAAGUUCAAAAGGCCCGAGAAGGUUUCAAGUUCAAAAAUAAGUUUAUAACAUAAGCAACCAUGGGUUAUCUUAUAAAAGCAUUUUUUUACACGAUAAGUAUGAAAAAUUAUUUCAUAUUAAGAGUGUGUUUGACAGUGAUUUUAGAAACACUAAAAAAUGUUUCUAACCUUUGUAAUACUUGAAAGAUUUUUUUUUCUUCAUGUUUUAGAAAUGUUAAAAGUGCUUCUUAGAAUCACUUUCAAUCGGACUCUUAACUAUUAAUUCGUUUAAAAAUAAAAAAAUAAAGAAUUAUUGAAACAAACUUGGAAAGAGCUAUAUGUCCAAAUUAAAUAACGGAGGUGAGUCAAGUCUUGCUUGCAACUACUUGUGUUUCCUAAACAGACUCCACUUUGGAUAAAUUUUGUUGAUUUUCUACUUCUCAAUUUCGAAUAUAAGAAGAGGGAGAAUUUGGAUUAUGUGUAGUCUUUUAUUUCUCUUUUCUAUUACUUCCAAUGAUUGAAACUGUUUUUAUUUUUAUUUUUUCAGUUUUUCAGUCUUGCGCACAAAAAUUUUCCAAUCUAUGCAUGAAUUAGAGAAACGAAUUCAUUUCUAGUAUAAUCAUCAAAAGAUACAAGCAAACAAACCAAAUUACAACAUGGGUGGACAUUUAUCCUUUCAUUUUUAUUACAAAAUAUGUAUGUAUCGAUAGAAGUAACCAGAGCCCCUUUAUUCUUUAAAUAUAAGUUCAGUAUCCUCUCUUGACUAGUACUGGCCUCCAUACCUGCACCAAGAGAAAAGAAUAUGAUCAAAUUGUAUUCCGAAGAAAUGGGCCUUCUUACACACAUAAGCAGUUGAAAUUAAGAAUAUUCUGUGAGGCCUACAGUUUCCUCUCUAUGGUUGGCGCUUGUCUCUUUUCUCAAUGAGGUAAAUUAGGUACGUGAUAAAUUGGGGGUCCACCAGGGAAACGGGGUGACGGUGGAGAUUUCUUAUAUGGUGUUGGUGGCGCUAGUGGCGUGGUAUGGUUGUUCUCAGGAGGAGGAGGUGGAGAUUUCUUAUAUGGUGUUGGUGGCGCUAGUGGCGUGGUAUGGUUGUUCUCAGGAGGAGGAGGUGGAGAUUUCUUAUAUGGUGUUGGUGGCGCUGGUGGCGUGGUAUGUUUUUUCUGAGGAGGAAGAGGAAAAUAUCGACGAGAUGGUGGCGAUUUGUAGUGAAGCCGUGAAGGUGGAGAAAAGCGGCGUGGAAAUGGGUGAGGGAAGCGUGGAGAGGAGUAACGCAAGUAUGCUGAGGUGUUGGGCAGCAAACUUAGAAAGACAACCACUAUGAAGAGAGAAGUGGUAAAGGAGGCCAUGGAGAUGGAGUCUUCCUUCCCCGUUUUGCUUCCCAUUUUCACAAGCAAAGUGCUAAUGUGUUGGACUGGUUGUGCUCCUAAGCUUUUCUUCUAAAGCCUUUUUAUACACAAGUUUUUUUUUUUUUUUUUUUUUUUGUGGAAAUUAACAACCAUCCUGCAUUAGUCUUGCGUCUUAGACACUCUUAAAGUCGUUUUUUGAUUUUUCAUUCAAGGAGAAAUCUUGGGUCUGCACCGUCAAAGAAGGCGGUUUACUUAUUGUUUGAUGUUGGCUGGCUGUAGAAUAGAAAAUUUUGAAGAAGAAAGAAAGAAUUUUGAAGUUUCACCGCUCCUUUAAAUUUCACGACAUGAAAUAAUUUUGUUUUAUUGGCAGGAGUUUCUUCUAUUUUCUGUGAAAACAAGAUGAUUUUCUGAAGUACUAGAAAUUAGGAAAUGGUGUAAAACCAAUGUAGACCAGAAAUUUAGUGGGGGAUGCGACACAUCAGAGUCUUUCCACUCGGCAAAGUCUCCAGCAGUUACAAUCAAAUUAUGUGGAAAAGAAGAAAAUUUUGAGAUGACUGGUUCUGCAGGCAUAGAGAAAGCACGAAAUUGAGCACUUCCAUAAGUACCAAUCGUAUUUCCUAGAAUUCCAAACCUUGAAAAGAUAUUCUCCUUUAUGAAUUUCAGUACCACCUUAUGAUCAUUUGUCUCACAUGCAGCAACCUCUACCCCCAUUUAGAAAUGUAGUCUACCCCCACAAAAAUGUAUGGAUUCCCAAAGAUAGGGAAAAGGCCUCAUAAAGUCCAAGUCCCUAACAGUUGAGCACUCCAUUAAAUUGCAACAAAUAUUAUUUCAAAAUAAUAUUGUGAUAUUUGAUUAUAAUAUGUCUAAUUUUAAAAUAUAUUUAAUAUUAAAAUUAUGAUCUUUUUAAUUCAAUUGUAUUAAAUGAUAUAAAAUAAAUUGUGAUAUAUGUAUAAUUUUUUAAUAUUUAAUUAAUCUAUUAAUGAUGUUAAAAACACUAUGAACAAAAUUAUCAUGAUAAUUUUUAUAUUUUUGGUAAUCAAUUAAAUGAAAAAAAUUUCAUUUAAUUAUAAAAUAAUUAUAAUUAAUUUGUUCUCUAAAAUAUUCUUUCAAUAUUUUAUUUACAUGAUGACUUUGAAUAUAAAUAUGUUUGGUGCAAUACAUUUAACAAGGGACAUACUUGCCCUAGUGGUAGGCCAUGGUUCAGGUAAGUCUCUUGUUUGGGGUUCAAGUCUCCUUAAUAAGCUUUCACUAUACCUGUUUACCUGGUUUAGACAACAUUUGUAUAUUUGUGCUCCUUAUAACCUGGUUUGGACAACAUUUGUAGCGAUACAAGUGAUCAUCCUAGAUGGAAUUCUUGGCCCUCGACAAAAAAUACCUCUUCUCAUAUUGAACACUUGAAGUACUAAUAUCCACCGUAGGUCUUGCCUUUGCAUCCUUCUGGUUGAGUAAAUACAUUGGGGUUCAAUGGUCUAUGAAUAAUAGAAUGGCAGUAUGCAAUAGAUAGUUUCUAAACUUGUCAAAUGUGAACACCAUAGCAAGCAACUCUUUCUUGAUAGUUGUGUAAGCUCUUUGAGCUUCAUUAAGGGUCUUGUUAGCAUAGUAGAUGACAUAUGACUUUCCUUCCUCUCCAAGCCUAGCAUUACUCAUAACAUCCAUAUGCUUGUUCCUUAUAUCUCCUUACUUUAUAUAAAAGUACGAAAUGUUUUUACAAUUUUUUUUCUAAAAAUAACCUUAUCAUUUCUAUUUUAUGUGCUUAUAUCCUAAUAUUAUUAUAUAUAAUUAAUUCAAAUAAUGUUUCUAGAUAACCUAUAAAAAUACUUUUAUGACUUAAAAAAAUGUUUAGCAAACUUUUCAUAGAAAACAACUUUUUUUUUGAGAAUUUAUUAUGAAAACAAGUAUUUUAAAGAACAAAUUUAAGGUGCUUUCAAUUAUUUUUUGUAAAGUAUUCCAGACAAUAAUUGAAAAUGUGAAAAUUACUUUUCAAACUUGUGCAUUGUAAAUUAGUGUAUAGUAACUUGAUGGAGAAUAAGGUAAUAAAACUAAUUUUCAUAUUUGAAUUCUCAAAACUUUGUUCUUGGUUUUCAAAAACAUUAUCAACUAUAUCCAAUUGGUACUAAUUGAUUUGGUUUUUGUGUUUCAAAUUACUUUUAAAUAAAUCCAACAUAUUAAGUCUUAUUUGUUUAGAGUCUAAAAAAUUUUGCAUAGAGUAAAUUGUGGAGAGCCAAAGUACUCAUUAGAGAAUGGUUUUGUUUUCUAAAUUUGGUUAUAUUUCUUCAUGUUUCCUUUUUACUCUAUAAGCACAACCAAAAACUUGUUCUCUCAAAGUUCAUAUCUUUUUUUUUUUAAUUUUAAAAUACUGUUUCUAGAUGAAAAAAAAAAAAAACAUAAAGACAAUUUUAGUUCUCGAAAAAUUUGAGGGAAAAUGUGAGAGAAAGAAAAUAAAGAGGAAAAGUGAAAGGAAAGAUUAUUUUUAUAUGUUUCUUCAAAUUUAAGAUUAAAUAUUCUUUAAAUAUAUGAAUUUCUAACUAAUUUUAAUUACAUUUUAUUUUCUUUCAUAUUUUUCAUGGUGAAACCAAAUUUUAAAGCUGAAUCAAAUUGAACCAUACUCAGUUCAACUAAAACAACAUUAAAAAAAACUUCAUCCUUCUUUAUUUUCCUAUAUUUUCUCCAAACAGAAGGCAAAGUCAAACAUAAAUUAAAUUCCCCAACCACCCAUCAACAAAACAACUAGUUCCACAAAAAUCCCAACAACUUCCUAAGAAAUUCCCCAAGCACCUAUCAUAAAAACACCCAAUUGAAGAAAAAACCCUAACAAAUUCCAAAUAAAUUUCUCUACAAAAGGUGAGGAAAAAAAACAUGAAUAAGACUCAUUGUGAGAGGAUGACACAGGAAUAAACCCUAAAAGGUCGGAGUUUGGUAGGAAAUCAAGGCCAUUAGUGGGAAUCCAUGGUGUCUCUACAACCUGAGGAAAUACAGUUGUUGAAAUCAGAGGUGAGAACUAAUAAAUAGUCCAUGUAAACCAUUGAUUUUCCUAUCGUUUUCAUUUUGACUCCCUUUCCAAUGGUUAUGAUUUGAAGAGAAAGAGGUUUCGUACUUCCUUCUCGCCAACACGAUGUUAAUGCUGUAGACAACAAACUUCAUGUAAAGAUGGAAAAAUGGUUAGGCCACUUUCUCCAAGACAUGAGGGUUAGGGUUCCACUAAGUAAGCCUGUUUCGUGGGGUUAGGUCUCCACCAGAGAACAUAUGUUGAUUCAUUUUGGUUUUCAUUUUAAUAAUUUUUUAAUUUUUUAAUUUUGUUUUAUUAUGGUUAUAAGUUGGAAAUUAUGUUUUAUUUUGGUUUAACAUGUAUUAUUAUGUUUUAAAAGGUUAAUUAUGUUUCAAUAAGUUUCUAAGGUGGUGAUUUUAUUUUAUUAAGGUUAUAAGUUAUGAUUCCCAUAGAUCUCUCCCUUUUUGAUAUUUCUCAAGCCUUUUUUUUCUCAUCUUUAUUUGCUUAAAAAAAUUCUUUAAUUAUCUCUCAGGCUACUAGUUU